rnacentral:pre_miRNA from 1 species
GAAAACUUGGAAACUACCGUUGGAUCGAGAAAUGGAUGUCUGAGAUUCAUCCACGUCACCAUGAGUUAAAAUUUAACUCGCAGAUUCACUCAUGAGUUAAAAUUUUACUAGGAGUUAAAUUUUAACUCAUGGUGACGUGGACGAAUCUCGGACGUCCAUUUCUCGAUCCAACGGUAGUUUUCAAGUUUCC